UCAGACCCUGGCCAUAUGAAAUAACUAUUUACCUCCACAACUUUUUCUUCUUCUAAGCUUUUUCUCAUCCUGAAGAACUAAUGAAACUAAACUGAUUUUCCCCUGGCAUAAGGAGGAGGAGGAUGAGCGGGGCUCAUGGCACAGUGCGCAGGGUAGCAGGAUCCGCUGUGGGGCAGGUGCUGGGUGCAGGUGGGCUCAUCUGGCUACAACAGGAGGCAUCACCAAAUGAAGAGCAGAUGGCUCCAGUCACCAGUUAUUUAUUUCUAUAAUCAGCCACAGGCUGUGAUCUGAGACCUUGAAGAAAUGGGUGAUUGCUACGAAAUCCCUUGCAUCCUGGGGCUGGGCUACGGCAGCUGCCUUUGGCUCCUGAAGGACCUGCGGCAUGCUCAAGAAAAGUCUCAGGCAUUUCUCUCCAGCUCAUGGAGCCAGUACGAACAUCAAGGACAGUUUAGUCCUGUUAUGUGGGAAAGCAUUCAAGUCUGAGCUAAAUUCAGCCUUGUUAUCCUCUUGUGUGGCUUUUUCCCCAUUACCUUAUUUCUCCUCUGGUUAUUUCCCCAGCUUGCCCUCUUCUGAUCUCACUGCUUCUUCUUCUUUUAUUUAUUAUUUUUUUUUCUUCUCAUUUCUUCUCCUUCCCUUUCCUUACAGCUUGUCGGGACCGUGCUCAGCCUGCUUUUAAGCUGGGUUAACAUGAUCAAGAGCAGCGAGGGCUCACUGCGCCACAGCGGCCGCGGGAGCCGGACCGCACGCGUAAUGCCGGGUGCGCGUGGUGCAGCAGGCUACUGCUUUGGCAGCACGACGUGCCUCACUGCUGCGCCUCUUAUCUGGCCUCCCAGAGCCCUAUCGCUAAGCCUAUCUGUCCUCAGAGGUAGGAUCAACAGAGCAGACGGGAAUAUUUUAUUUCCUGCUGGAAGCAUCAGCUCCAGACAGACAAAUAUAAGGAUUCAUGUUUCAGCUAUUUAACAACAACCCCCAAAACCCAUACAAACCCAGAAACGCUCAAGCCUAAACCUGAAGAAAAUUAUCUGCCUCGAUGGGAAAGAAUCUAAUGAAAUCCAAUCAAAUCUCAGCUGGAAGAACACAGAACAGUGGCUUUGGGCAUAAAUCAGAAAUGGAAUUAAUUUUGUGCUUUAUUACAUGUCUUAAAAAUAAAAAGAGGGCACCCUACGCCUGGGAGUGCUGAACGGAUUGAAGUGAUGUCCACAGACUGCCAGCUCUGGUGUCCAGACGUACGGACGGGUUCGAAAUCAGUCCGUGCCCUCCUGGUGGAAGAAAUGCCCGCAGCAGCACUGAUGAUAGUGGUUUUUUUUGUUUGUUUUUGUUUUUUUUUUUGUCUUUUCUUCUGUCUUUACCAUAACACACAGCAUGGGAAGGCGAUGCAUAAAGGACCAUGUGAGAAGGGCAAUAUGGAAGGGGAUGUUUUGGGUUUCCCUGGGGCCACUGAGUGCCGUGAAGAUGAGGAGGAGCAUUUUGGUAGGCACAGCUGAGAAAGAGAAGUUUCACAGCUCAGAGCAAUCCCAGAACUGGUCAGACUUUUUAUCUGUGGACUUCUGGUGGAGAUGCCAAAAAGCUCUGCAAAGUCAGGGAUGGAGCCUCGGCACAGUUAAAAUUUCCUGCUGGUUUUCAUUAGUCAGAACUGUCUCUGUGCUUUGUUUGUUCUCAAACUAAAUGGCAAUGAUCCCUUCUUUGUACCUGCCCAAAAUUGCUCUGAACGUCACUUGUAUGAGCCCAUUGAGAUCAAUAUGGGGGAAAAGAGUCUCACUCUAAUUCCUGUUUUUGCUGGCUCCUCACUUUCUGUCACCAUAAAAGGAAGAACAGAGUUAAAAUUGGAAUUUCUACCCCAGGUUUUUAUCUCAGCUUGCGAUGAAAAUUUUAAUUAGGCAUUUAUUAUGGGCAAGAAGGUGUAAAAUAAAAUGUUCCAAAAUGAAA